CUUUCAAGAACUUGAGUCUAUAAUAAUCUAGUGUCUAAUUUAUGCAUAAUUACAUAGAGUAAUAGCAUAAAUUAAUUAUAAUGAUCCUAUAAGUCCAGGCUAUUUAAUAAAUCAAACUAAUUAUUAGCUAAUAGCUAAUAAUCCUUUAUACACAUUUAUAGGCUUAAAUUAAAAUAACUUAGCCCACUUUAACUAAAUUAAGGGGCCAAUUAAAUUAAUAAUAGCCCAAUAAUAAAUUAAGGCUAACCAAAGCCACCACUCCAUUAAUCAACCCAAAUACGUAUAAUAAGAAAUGGGCCCAAAUUAUCAAAACCCAUUAGAGUAAGUAUAACUAAUAAAACCAAAGCUUAAAUUCUCUUUCCCUUUAGCUGUACGUAUAAUCUCUUAAAUCUGCCCUUCUCUCUCUUUCUUUGCUCUUUACCGCCCCUCUCUCUCUCUCUUCGCCCCUCUCUGCCGGCUCCCUUCUUCCCCAUCUCACCGGGACGUCGCUGGUUCUCGCCGCCUCCGGCGCGGCGAGGCAAGUACCUGUUCUUCCCCCUUCUUCCUUUCUCUUCUCUUCCCCCAAUUUCCCAGGCUACCACUACUUAGGGUUUUGAAGUUUUCUCUUUUAAAUCUGCUCCUCCGGUGAACACCACCGCCACCGCCGUCGUUCCCGUCGCGCGGCCGCCCCACCAUCUCAGGAAUCGAUGAUUCAGGGGAUCUCCAGUUCGUCUACUGCUCAAGAUCCAAUUUUUAUAUGUUAUAAACCUAUUUUCCUUUAUUGCUUAUUGUAAAACUGGGAUUUUGAUGGUGAGGAAACAAUACUGUAUCGUUACUAUGCUUAUGUGUAGCUAUGUCUUUUCUGCUGUUCUUGAUUGUUCCUUUAUACACAAGGAAUUGAUGGAAUUGAUUGAAUUGUAUACAAGAAAACUACCUGCUUUGCUUGAUGCUGCUAUGAACUGCUGGGGAUUGUAAA